rnacentral:rRNA from 1 species
UACGUAGGGUGCAAGCGUUAAUCGGAAUUACUGGGCGUAAAGCGUGCGCAGGCGGUUGUGCAAGACCGAUGUGAAAUCCCCGGGCUUAACCUGGGAAUGGCAUUGGUGACUGCACGGCUAGAGUGUGUCAGAGGGGGGUAGAAUUCCACGUGUAGCAGUGAAAUGCGUAGAGAUGUGGAGGAACACCGAUGGCGGAAGGCAGCCCCCUGGGUCAAGACUGACGCUCGAUGCACGAAAGCGUGGGGAGCAAACAAGG